GACGGAGGGCGCAAGCGUUAUUCGGAAUCAUUGGGCGUAAAGAGCGUGUAGGCGGCCGGUUAAGUCAGGUGUGAAAGCCCGGGGCUCAACCUCGGAAGUGCACUUGAAACUGGUCGGCUUGAGUUCCGGAGAGGGAAGCGGAAUUCCAGGUGUAGAGGUGAAAUUCGUAGAUAUCAGGAGGAACACCGGUGGCGAAGGCGGCUUCCUGGACCGAAACUGACGCUGAGACGCGAAAGCGUGGGGAGCAAACAGG
rnacentral:rRNA from 1 species